GACAGAGGGUGCUAGCGUUGUUCGGAAUGACUGGGCGUAAAGGGCGCGUAGGCGGAAAUAUUAGUCAGGCGUGAAAAGCCCCCGGGGCUUUAACCCUGGGAACUGCGUUUGAAAACGGUAUAUCUGGAGUGCGAGAGAGGAAAGUGGAAUUCCUAGUGUAGAGGUGAAAUUCGUAGAUAUUAGGAGGAACACCAGAGGCGAAGGCGGCUUUCUGGCUCGCAACUGACGCUGAGGCGCGAAAGCGUGGGGAGCAAACAGG
rnacentral:rRNA from 1 species